rnacentral:snRNA from 1 species
UUGCUCUUUUCAGUAGCAAAUGUUACUAAAAUUGGAACGACACAGGAUGAUUAGCAAUGCCUCCUGCGCAAAUAAGACACGCAAAUUCGUGAUGGACCAUCCAUAUUC